rnacentral:rRNA from 1 species
CCUACGGGUGGCUGCAGUGGGGAAUAUUGGACAAUGGGGGGAACCCUGAUCCAGCCAUGCCGCGUGUGUGAAGAAGGCCCUCGGGUUGUAAAGCACUUUCAGUGAGGAAGAACGCCUGGUGGUUAAUACCCAUCAGGAAAGACAUCACUCACAGAAGAAGCACCGGCUAACUCCGUGCCAGCAGCCGCGGUAAUACGGAGGGUGCGAGCGUUAAUCGGAAUUACUGGGCGUAAAGCGCGCGUAGGUGGCUUGAUAAGCCGGUUGUGAAAGCCCCGGGCUCAACCUGGGAACGGCAUCCGGAACUGUCAAGCUAGAGUGCAGGAGAGGAAGGUAGAAUUCCCGGUGUAGCGGUGAAAUGCGUAGAGAUCGGGAGGAAUACCAGUGGCGAAGGAGGCCUUCUGGACUGACACUGACACUGAGGUGCGAAAGCGUGGGUAGCAAACAGGAUUAGAUACCCCUGUAGUC